rnacentral:rRNA from 1 species
CAGCAUGAGGGCCAACGCCCGCUGGGAUGGGUAGGGGAGCGUCGUGUGCCGGGUGAAGCUGCAGCGGAAGCUAGUGGUGGACGGUUCACGAGUGAGAAUGCAGGCAUGAGUAGCGAUACACACGUGGGAAACGUGUGCGCCGAUUGACUAAGGGUUCCUGGGUCAAGCUGAUCUGCCCAGGGUAAGUCGGGACCUAAGGCGAGGCCGACAGGCGUAGUCGAUGGAUAACCGGUUGAUAUUCCGGUACCCGCUGUGAAGCGUCAAACAUUGAACCAGGCGAUGCUAAGUCCGUGAAGCCGCCCCGGAGCCUUCGGGCAAGGGGGAGUGGUGGAGCCGACGGACCAGACCUGCAGUAGGUGAGUGAUGGGGUGACGCAGGAAGGUAGUCCAUCCCGGGCGGUGGUUGUCCCGGGGUAAGGGUGUAGGACGGUGUGUAGGCAAAUCCGCACACCACAUAGUCUGAGACCUGAUGCCGAGCCGAUUGUGGUGAAGUGGAUGAUCCUAUGCUGUCGAGAAAAGCCUCUAGCGAGUUUCAUGGCGGCCCGUACCCUAAACCGACUCAGGUGGUCAGGUAGAGAAUACCGAGGCGUUCGGGUGAACUAUGGUUAAGGAACUCGGCAAAAUGCCCCCGUAACUUCGGGAGAAGGGGGGCCAUCACUGGUGAGAGGAUUUACUCCUCGAGCUGGGGGUGGCCGCAGAGACCAGCGAGAAGCGACUGUUUACUAAAAACACAGGUCCGUGCGAAGCCGUAAGGCGAUGUAUACGGACUGACGCCUGCCCGGUGCUGGAACGUUAAGGGGACCGGUUAGUCCAACUUCGGUUGGGCGAAGCUGAGAACUUAAGCGCCAGUAAACGGCGGUGGUAACUAUAACCAUCCUAAGGUAGCGAAAUUCCUUGUCGGGUAAGUUCCGACCUGCACGAAUGGCGUAACGACUUCUCGACUGUCUCAACCAUAGGCCCGGUGAAAUUGCACUACGAGUAAAGAUGCUCGUUUCGCGCAGCAGGACGGAAAGACCCCGGGACCUUUACUAUAGUUUGAUAUUGGUGUUCGGUUCGGCUUGUGUAGGAUAGCUGGGAGACUGUGAAGUGGGCACGCCAGUGUCUGUGGAGUCGUCGUUGAAAUACCAGUCUGGUCGUGCUGGAUGUCUAACCUGGGUCCGUGAUCCGGAUCAGGGACAGUGUCUGAUGGGUAGUUUAACUGGGGCGGUUGCCUCCUAAAGAGUAACGGAGGCGCCCAAAGGUUCCCUCAGCCUGGUUGGCAAUCAGGUGUUGAGUGUAAGUGCACAAGGGAGCUUGACUGUGAGACCGACGGGUCGAGCAGGGACGAAAGUCGGGACUAGUGAUCCGGCGGUGGCUUGUGGAAGCGCCGUCGCUCAACGGAUAAAAGGUACCCCGGGGAUAACAGGCUGAUCUUCCCCAAGAGUCCAUAUCGACGGGAUGGUUUGGCACCUCGAUGUCGGCUCGUCGCAUCCUGGGGCUGGAGUCGGUCCCAAGGGUUGGGCUGUUCGCCCAUUAAAGCGGUACGCGAGCUGGGUUUAGAACGUCGUGAGACAGUUCGGUCCCUAUCCGCUGCGCGCGCAGGAACAUUGAGAAGGGCUGUCCCUAGUACGAGAGGACCGGGACGGACGAACCUCUGGUGUGCCAGUUGUCCUGCCAAGGGCAUGGCUGGUUGGCUACGUUCGGGAGGGAUAACCGCUGAAAGCAUCUAAGCGGGAAGCCUGCUUCGAGAUGAGUGUUCCCACCCACUAGAUGGGGUAAGGCUCCCAGUAGACGACUGGGUUGAUAGGCCAGAUCUGGAAGCCCGGUAACGGGUGGAGGUGACUGGUACUAAUAGGCCGAGGGCUUGUCCUC